rnacentral:lncRNA from 1 species
CUUGAGCAUGGGGCACGUCAGGACCGAACAUCUCAAAAUCUUCAUCUUCAAUGGAAUGAGAAGGAGUGGCCCUACCCCUGCAGUCCAAACAGCCCAGCUUGUAUGCAUAAAUGACAGCCUCAGACUUGGAUCGUUCAGCAGCUUUGUGGUAGGUAUCAAACUUGGCCAGAAGUUUGUCAUAACUCGAGGAUAUGUCAGCAUUCUUUCUCUCAAGACAGAAGUAGGCC